rnacentral:lncRNA from 1 species
CUCGCUACGAAAUCAGCAGUCGUGUUUGCUCACGGUAGGGUCCGCAGAUGUCCAGUGCUCCUUGUGAACUUUCUUUACCCGCCAAGUUGCACUGCACAAGGCGUACAACCAGUGUGCUAACCAUGACGGCCAUAAAUUGUGACGCCCGCGCUUCUACGAAUACUCGGACCUAUCAUCGGGCUUAAUGUCCUCAAGCAGUGAAUACGACCUGCGCCUCCUGGUACGCCAGCCUUGGACGUUUCCAGGCUAUUCAGAAAAGCAAGAGCAUCUACUACAACUGUAAGGCAAACUUAAUUAUGCGUUCAAGAAUUUCAGCUUCUGCCACAAAUACUGGCAACACUUGUACAUACUGUGGAAUAUAAUUAUGCGAGAUGACGACAAAAUGAAGAGGCCCGUUGUUCACUCUCAGACAUGUUUUACCUAGUACACCAAUAAAGAACGGUCUGCAAAUGCAGUCGUUGCCAGGGUUUUAUUUUCCUACUUACAAAUAAAAGCUGCACACACACGGGCACAAAUACCAACAGUCUUGAUGUGCAUAUUUACAUAAAGACCACUCUGCGUGUCUCAUGGGAGGCCAUAGGAAAAGAACACUUGGCCUAAUUACCGGGAC